AGUGAACGCUGGCGGUAGGCCUAACACAUGCCAGUCGAACGGCAGCACAGUAAGAGCUUGCUCUUACGGGUGGCGAGUGGCGGACGGGUGAGGAAUACAUCGGAAUCUACUUUUUCGUGGGGGGGAACGUAGGGAAACUUACGCUAAUACCGCAUACGACCUACGUGUGAAAGCAGGGGAUCUUCGGACCUUGCGCGAUUGAAUGAGCCGAUGUCGGAUUAGCUAGUUGGCGGGGUAAAGGCCCACCAAGGCGACGAUCCGUAGCUGGUCUGAGAGGAUGAUCAGCCACACUGGAACUGAGACACGGUCCAGACUCCUACGGGAGGCAGCAGUGGGGAAUAUUGGACAAUGGGCGCAAGCCUGAUCCAGCCAUACCGCGUGGGUGAAGAAGGCCUUCGGGUUGUAAAGCCCUUUUGUUGGGAAAGAAAAGCAGCAGGUUAAUACCCCGCUGUUCUGACGGUACCCAAAGAAUAAGCACCGGCUAACUUCGUG
rnacentral:rRNA from 1 species